GAUCAUUUUGUGUCUGUUUGGUCGAUUUCUGUCUUUUCAUGUUGUUUUUGGUUCCAUUUUGAUAAUUUUGCAUCUGUUUAAGUUUUUCCUGUUCCAUUUUACUCACUUGAAUCAUUUUAUGCCUCUUUAUUGUUUGUUUGUUUUAUGUUUCAUGUAAAUACAGUCACCAAACAAGAAUGAAAGGGAGCAGAAAGAAGACAAGUCUUAUUAUGUCUGCCCCUUUUUCUCCAGAAAUCAAUUACAAAAAGUGAACUUAAAAACAACAACAACAAAGAAAAAAAACAUAAAAAUAUAUAUGUGAUUAUUUAUGUGAUUGUUAUUGUCUCUUUUGGGUGAUUUUGUGCGUCAUAUGGUUGGUUUUGUGUUUUCACACUUGUUGUCUCACUCAGUCAUCAAACCCUGCUCUUGUCCUUUAACUUUGUCCUGCACAGAGACCAGUAGCGACCCUCUAGAGGGCUGCAGUCAGCGAGGAGACAAGAGGAAAGCCUCUGAUGCUGCUGAAGCUCCGUCCAAAAAGAGGAGGCUUGAACCGGUGCAGGACAGAACUAAGCUGUCAGAAGAGGAGCAGAGAGAACAAUUCCAUGGAAAAUACGAGCAGCAACAUAAACUCGGAGUUGGAGGUUGUGGGUCCGUGUUCGCUGGGCGCCGCAAAUCGGAUGAUUUGCCGGUGGCGAUAAAACACAUCCCAAAAGACAACGUGCCGUGCAAACACGUGGACCACAACAGGGAGAAGCUCUCCAUCGAAGUAGCUGCUAUGCUGAAGAUUCAGGCUGCUACAGCUGGAUUGAUGGGGACGUCAGCACCGAUAUCCCUGCUGGACUGGUACGACACGGGCCAAGAGCUGAUCCUGGUUCUAGAGAGACCAGUUCCCUCAGAAGACCUCUUCGAUUAUGUGGUGGGCAAUGGAGGCUUGCUGGAGGAGGAGGCAAAGGUAGGCUGCUGGGAAGAUCCUGGUUCUGAGGUUAAAUCCAUAGUGGGCAGCAUCAUCGAUCAACAACUGAUUACAGAAAACAUUAUUUAUUAGGUUAUGUAGUUAACAAAGGUAGGACGUUGUCAGUGCAACAUUCAGAAAACAUUUUAAGGUUAUUAUUCCCUAAUAGUGUCUGCAGAGAAGAUUUUUCUGUGUUUAGAGAGAACAUUCAUGGAGAUGAAAAAACAAAAAACAUUACAAGAACUUUGCAGAACACUAUCAAAGAUUUUAGAAUAAAAACCUUCUGUCUGGCUUUAAAAACAGUCUGAGCAUCAUUCAGCUCAGUCUGAAGAUGUGAAUGCCUUCCGACAUCCAUUAACCACCACAGUAGUCUUUGUCAUGGUGCCCGUUGCUCGCUAUACUCCCACAAUGCUCUCUGCUUGCAAACACUGAACUGCCUGUUUAACAGGAAGAGACUCCACCUACCUUCUUCUGCCACAUUGGUCAACAACAUUUUAAUGUUUUUUUAAUAAAAAAAAUAAUCUAUUAAACGUUACUAUUACCAUUCCUUGGUCUCCAUUAAUGAAGCAAAAUUUUGGUGCUGCUUAGAAGUUACAAAAAUUUGAAGGAAAACAUCUUAAUUUGGGUCCAUCUUGUCUUGACUUGAAGAGUCUUUGCACUUCCUGUUUUAUUUAUCAGUCUUUUCUCUGUCUGUCCCAGAUCAUUGUGAAACAGCUUGUGGAUGCUGCCAUUGACUUGGAGGACAAAGGCAUCUUUCACCGGGACAUUAAAUGCGAAAACAUUCUGAUUGAGACUGGAUCAGAAGUCCCGCGUGUUCGACUCAUCGACUUCGGGCUGAGCUGUUCUGCAAAGAAGCGAUCGUGCUAUCGCAAAUUUUAUGGCACUCACGAUCACACCCCUCCAGAGUGGUACUGCCGCCGUACCUACCGGGCCGGGCCCACCACGGUGUAUCAAGUGGGGAUUGUGCUUUUUGUGAUGACCCACAGAGUUAACUUUGAGACCACCAUGUACUUCGGAGAAAGGGUGCAGAUCAGCGACAAAGUGUCCAAAGAUGAGAAAAACAAACCUGUGAGCAGACGUUCAGCUACUCUUUGACGGGAUGCAGCCGUCGCCUUCAUCUUUCUUGUUUCUCUGCAGACUGCCGGGAUUUCUUAGAGAAGUGCUUCACGCUGGUCCCUGAACAUUGGCCCAAACUGAGGGAGCUCCUUCAUCAUCCAUGGCUGAGAUAAAAACACCACACUCACACUGCACCUCAUCACAAACACGAUACACCUUAACUAUCGUCCCAUGUCGUUCACGCCAAAUGCAUUUUGUCAUCUUGUCAAAAGUGACAGAAUUUACUGAAUUGAAAAAAAUUAAAAUACAAUAGGGUCAUUCCAUGCCAAAUCACCCAGAAUUAGAAAAAAUCCCCAGGUCAUCAUCUCAGAAGAUUCUGAAAAAAAUUACACUUGUAGGCAUAUCAGAGAAACUGAGAAAUCCCAAAUUUUAGCUACAAACCUCUAAUACUUUGGAAGUUACAGCAAAAAUUGUCUCCCCAAGUUACAGACUUGGGGAGACAAGAGAGUUUCAGUCGGACCUUCAUGUAUUCAUCGAUGCAAAAAGAACAAGUUGUACCGUCGUCUUCCCAAGUCUGCAUGAAGUCUUGUAGACUUUGGGAGGUGACGAAGUCUACGAAUUCUUAAGUACUUGUCGAUGAUGAAGGUAAAUGUCGUACCAUCAUCUUCCUAAGUCAGUGCAUAUUCAGCAGACUUUGGAAGAUGAUGAAAUUUUUGUUUCUCAGACUCGCUUGCAGGAAGGUUUAUGUUGUAAUGCAGUCAUCCAUGUCUGUGUGGACUCUUGGAUAUUUAUUAAGUAUUGAAAAGUGUAUCUCAUGUAACCUUACAGACUCGACAAUGCGGAAAGUAUAAAUCGCGCCGUCAUUGAAAUUUACAUCACUCAAGUCUGCAUAUACUCUGGUAGACUUUGAAAGUUACCAGAACAUUCCAAACCGAACAUACAUGUCAAUUUUUAACAUA